rnacentral:rRNA from 1 species
GAGAACGCUGGCGGCGUGCUUAACACAUGCAAGUCGAACGAUGAAGCCCAGCUUGCUGGGUGGAUUAGUGGCGAACGGGUGAGUAACACGUGAGUAACCUGCCCUUAACUCUGGGAUAAGCCUGGGAAACUNGGUCUAAUACCGGAUAGGAGCGCCUACCGCAUGGUGGGUGUUGGAAAGAUUUAUCGGUUUUGGAUGGACUCGCGGCCUAUCAGCUUGUUGGUGAGGUAAUGGCUCACCAAGGCGACGACGGGUAGCCGGCCUGAGAGGGUGACCGGCCACACUGGGACUGAGACACGGCCCAGACUCCUACGGGAGGCAGCAGUGGGGAAUAUUGCACAAUGGGCGAAAGCCUGAUGCAGCGACGCCGCGUGAGGGAUGACGGCCUUCGGGUUGUAAACCUCUUUCAGUAGGGAAGAAGCGAAAGUGACGGUACCUGCAGAAGAAGCACCGGCUAACUACGUGCCAGCAGCCGCGGUAAUACGUAGGGUGCGAGCGUUAUCCGGAAUUAUUGGGCGUAAAGAGCUCGUAGGCGGUUUGUCGCGUCUGUCGUGAAAGUCCGGGGCUUAACCCCGGAUCUGCGGUGGGUACGGGCAGACUAGAGUGCAGUAGGGGAGACUGGAAUUCCUGGUGUAGCGGUGGAAUGCGCAGAUAUCAGGAGGAACACCGAUGGCGAAGGCAGGUCUCUGGGCUGUAACUGACGCUGAGGAGCGAAAGCAUGGGGAGCGAACAGGAUUAGAUACCCUGGUAGUCCAUGCCGUAAACGUUGGGCACUAGGUGUGGGGACCAUUCCACGGUUUCCGCGCCGCAGCUAACGCAUUAAGUGCCCCGCCUGGGGAGUACGGCCGCAAGGCUAAAACUCAAAGGAAUUGACGGGGGCCCGCACAAGCGGCGGAGCAUGCGGAUUAAUUCGAUGCAACGCGAAGAACCUUACCAAGGCUUGACAUGUUCCCGAUCGCCGUAGAGAUACGGUUUCCCCUUUGGGGCGGUUCACCAGUG